rnacentral:rRNA from 1 species
CCUACGGGAGGCAGCAGUGGGGAAUAUUGGGCAAUGGGCGCAAGCCUGACCCAGCAACGCCGCGUGAAGGAAGAAGGCUUUCGGGUUGUAAACUUCUUUUGACAGGGAAGAGUAGAAGACGGUACCUGUCGAAUAAGCCACGGCUAACUACGUGCCAGCAGCCGCGGUAAUACGUAGGUGGCAAGCGUUGUCCGGAUUUACUGGGUGUAAGGGGCGUGUAGCCGGGUUGACAAGUCAGAUGUGAAAUCCUGCGGCUUAACCGCAGAACUGCAUUUGAAACUGUUGAUCUGGAGUACUGGAGAGGCAGACGGAAUUCCUGGGGUAGGGGUGAAAGGCGUAGAUAGUAGGAGGACACCCAGUGGAGAAGGCGGUCUGCUGGACAGAAACUGAGGGUGAGGCGCGAAAGGGUGGGGAGCAAACAGGAUUAGAUACCCUAGUAGUC